rnacentral:rRNA from 1 species
GGGGGGUUAAAAAGGUCGUAGUUGGAUUUUGGUUAAGAGGGCGCGGUCGGCCGUUUGGUCUGUUUUGCGUUGUCUUGACUUCCUGAUGAGGACAUGCUCUUGGUUAACGCUGAGACAUGGAGUCAUCGUGGUUACUUUGAAAAAAUUAGAGUGUUCAAAGCGGGCUUACGCUUGAAUAUAUUAGCAUGGAAUAACACUAUAGGACUCCUGUCCUAUCUCGUUGGUCUCGGGAUGGGAGUAAUGAUUAAGAGGAACAGUUGGGGGCAUUCGUAUUUCAUUGUCAGAGGUGAAAUUCUUGGAUUUAUGAAAGACGAACUUCUGCGAAAGCAUUUGCCAAGGAUGUUUUCAUUAAUCAAGAACGAAAGUUGGGGGCUCGAAGAUGAUUAGAUACCAUCCUAGUCUCAACCAUAAACGAUGCCGACUAGGGAUUGGUGGAUGUCAAUUGAUGACUUCACCAGCACCUUAUGAGAAAUCA